rnacentral:rRNA from 1 species
AUACGGGGGAUCCGAGCGUUAUCCGGAUUUAUUGGGUUUAAAGGGUGCGCAGGCGGGAGAUUAAGUCGGCGGUGAAAUUUUGCGGGUCAACUUUAAAAGUGCCCUCCAUCAUGGGUUCCUUUGGUGUAGAUGAAGUUAGCGGAAUUUGUGGUGUUGCGGUGAAAUGCAUAGAUAUCACGAGGAACUCCGAUUGCGCAGGCAGCUUACUAAACUACUACUGACGCUCAGGCACGAAGGCGUGGGGAUCAAACAGGGUUAGAUACCCUGGUAGUCCACGCAGUAAACGAUGAUUACUAGCUGUUUGCGAUACAAUGUAAGCGGCUGAGCGAAAGCGUUAAGUAAUCCACCUGGGGAGUACGUUCGCAAGAAUGAAACUCAAAUGAAUUGACGGGG